rnacentral:misc_RNA from 1 species
CCCGUUCGUGCCCCUUCGCCUCCUCUUCCUUCGUGUAUCCUCUGCAUUUCACGCUCUUGCCCACCCAGGCGGCUGUUGCCACGGAACCGCCUUUUUCGUUUUUUUUUUUUUUGGUAUCUGUGCGUGUGUCUCGGCUUGCGCACUGUGCUCUGCGAUUCUACUGCGGGCACUGCUGGCUGAUCGCUGCUCCUACCUUCUCCUCGACUUGCGCUGGCACCGUACUGCACUAGCGUCUCUUCCGCCUUUUUUUUAUUGAGUGCCACACAGACGCCUUUUUACCUCGCCCGGCAUUCGACUGCUGUCUGCUGCGCAGCACUCGCGCCGGGUCUUACGCCGGCACUAGAACCUUCUUUUUCGUUCUCUGCCCGAAAUGCAGACCCGUUCUAAGGCCAAGGGUCGCCGUGGUCGUCCGUCGGCGCGGCCCUCUGAAGAGGUUGAGGUUGUGGAGAGCCAGCCGCAGGAGGCCCUCCAGAAUGAAGAGCAGGAGCCUCGGCAGCAGCAGCAGCAGAGCACUGACAUGGCUGAGCCGAACGCAAGUGGCUUUCGCGUUAUCCAGAUCUUGGAGAACUACGGCGUGGCGAGCUCGGAUAUCAAGAAGCUCAUGGAGUGCGGCUUUUACACGGUCGAGUCGGCGGCCUACGCUCCGAAGAAGGCCAUCCUGGCAGUGAAGGGGAUCAGCGAGAACAAGGCCGAGAAAAUUAUGGCGGAGUGCGCCAAGCUGGUGCCGAUGGGGUUCACUUCCGCGGUCGCCUACCACGAGGCGCGCAAGGAGAUCAUUAUGGUCACCACGGGAAGCCGUGAGGUGGACAAGCUACUCGGCGGCGGCAUCGAAACUGGGAGCAUCACGGAGCUCUUCGGAGAGUUCCGCACGGGCAAGACACAGCUCUGCCAUACGCUGUGCGUGACGUGCCAGCUGCCCAUCUCUCAGGGUGGCGCGGAGGGCAUGGCGCUCUAUAUCGACACCGAAGGCACCUUUCGCCCGGAGCGCCUCGUUGCCGUUGCGGAGCGGUACAAGCUGGACCCGGAGGAUGUGCUCGCUAACGUGGCGUGUGCGCGUGCCUUCAACACGGAUCACCAGCAGCAGCUGCUGCUGCAGGCGUCUGCCAUGAUGGCCGAGAACCGCUUCGCGCUCAUCGUCGUAGACUCUGCAACCGCUCUCUACCGCACAGACUACAGCGGCCGCAACGAGCUCGCGGCGCGGCAGAUGCACCUCGGCAAAUUCUUGCGCUCGCUGCACAACCUCGCCGAGGAGUACGGAGUGGCAGUGGUUGUGACGAACCAAGUAGUAGCCAACGUGGACGGCUCCGCGCAGAUGUUCCAGGCGGACUCUAAGAAGCCGAUUGGAGGCCACAUUAUGGCCCACGCCUCGACGACGCGGCUUAGCCUGCGCAAGGGUCGCGGCGAGCAGCGCAUCAUCAAGGUGUACGACUCUCCGUGCCUGGCCGAGGCUGAGGCGAUCUUUGGCAUCUACGAUGAUGGCGUUGGUGACGCUCGGGAUUGAAGAGCCGUGGAUGUCGCGGCAAGCAGGCACUUCUGCGGCAUCUGUGACUUUUGCGACCAUGUGCUCUCUCCUUAGCGGGGGCGCAUCGAAAAAUGUCGCACGCCCUUCUCGGCCAGCUCGUGCGUCACGCUGGACGUUUCACGCCUUUUCUUUCGUCUGUUUGCAUACGCUAGACGACCGACAGCGCCACCGUGUUCGCUUGUGUGUGUAAGCGCGCUUUUCCUGUGAGGAGUGAAGAUGCUGUGGCGUUCUCCGUUUUAAGUCCUGACAAGUUCUCUUUGGUGUGCGCGUGUGUCUCUCGGUGUACGUGGACUUAUGAUGCCUUUGUGUUCUCGUUCUUCCCGUCUGCAUUUCCAUUUUAUUUUCGUGUUUUGCCGUUCUUCUCCCCGCUGCAUCACCUGCGUCCUUCCCUCCUCUCUUCUUCUCCUUUUGCGUGUCGAUCGGUGCGGAGUGCAUUAAAGGCCGCUUCCCCGCGCGUGUGCUUCGAGGAGAAGUGAUGCGAGUAUGCCUUCUGGCGUCGUUGGUCCUUGUCUCCUUUCUCUUGAUUUGGGAACACGUGGUGACAAGGGAAGAAAGGAGGACAAGGGCGGUCGCUCUCCGCACACGUACGCGCACGCACGCACCUGAAUGCUGAAGGGUGCAGGAUUCUUUUUUUUUCUAUUUUGUUUGAGGUCGUCACGGAGCACCAUAUGCGAUGCCGGAGGAGAGGGGAGGGGUAUGAAGGGGCCUACACAGGACGCAUAGUGAGCAAGGUUCACGUGACAGGACGAAGUGAAUAUGAAGUGGCGAGGAUGGAAUGCCGAGAGUGGCGAGCUGGAUAAGCGAGACGCAUGCGAGCACUCAGGGGUCAUCAGUGACUGCUAACAGGCGCACACUCCUUUUCCUAGUACCUCCCAUAUUGCCUGCGCACUACGGCCAACCCAUCCCUCGCCUUAUCGGCUCUCCACGUGUCCUGCUGUGUGCUGAUAUGCGCUCCCUCGACCGUGCAUCUCCUGCGCGUUGUUCGUUGACAUACAGGCUAGGAACAUUUUUUUUUUGCGUUGACGUGCGGGUGGCGGUGACGCUUAUUG